GAUGAACGCUGGCGGCGUGCCUAAUACAUGCAAGUCGAGCGAACGGACGAGAAGCUUGCUUCUCUGAUGUUAGCGGCGGACGGGUGAGUAACACGUGGAUAACCUACCUAUAAGACUGGGAUAACUUCGGGAAACCGGAGCUAAUACCGGAUGAUAUUUUGAACCGCAUGGUUCAAAGGUGAAAGACGGUCUUGCUGUCACUUAUAGAUGGAUCCGCGCUGCAUUAGCUAGUUGGUAAGGUAACGGCUUACCAAGGCAACGAUGCAUAGCCGACCUGAGAGGGUGAUCGGGCACACUGGAACUGGGACACGGUCCCAACCCCUAAGGGGAGCAACAGUAAGGAAUUUUCCCGAAAGGGCCGAAGCCUGACGGGGCAACCGCGCGGUGGGUAUUGAGGGUUUCGGGUUCGAAAACUUUGUUAUUUGGGAAGAACAUAUGUGUAAGUAACUGUGCACAUCUUGACGGUACCUAAUCAGAAAGCCACGGCUAACUACGUG
rnacentral:rRNA from 1 species